UGCGAGUUGGAGGUUAUGUUACAAACACUUCAAAAGUUUCAAAAACAGAAAGAUUUUUUCAAAAAAUGCAAAACGCUGCCAAGUUACGGAGCCAGAAAGAAGGUAGCUGCACGAAUAUGUAAGAAAUAUCCACUAAGCAAUACAAAAAGGGAAAGAGUCACUGAAAAGUUACUGGUUGAAGAAAAGUGCAAAUUUGUGUUGCUGUCAGAAAAUGUUGUCUAUGCUUCACGAUUCUAACAACAAUUUUCUGACUAUUUGAGAAAACACUUGUCGGACAUUUGAAGAGAGUAUUGAAGUCAAUAUUGUACAAUUUAUUUGGAUAACAAAAUAGUUCGACUAUCUCUUUUUCAGUAAAUGCAAGAACUUAACAGAAUUGUAUCCACACGAUAACUCUGGUUAGGGUGUGUAAUUAGGAGUAAAAGCUCUGGGGUACUUUUCCCAUCAGUUUUAUGGGUCUUCCCCAGCGCCCUGAACACCUUAGUUUAAUUUUUGUAGGAUUUUCUUAUGUUGUUAUUAGCUAAAGAUAAAAAAAAUCAUAAAGUUUAACUUUAUAUAAAAAACAACCCUCACUACAAUCCUGCUUAAAACUGUAGAGAGAAUAACCGUCUUUGGUUAUUUCUUAAAUUUUAACAAAGGCUUUAAUGUAUGACCAAUAAGUGCAAAUACGCAAUCAGGUACACAACUUCCAAGUGUUUGAACGUUGCACUUUCCAACCCAUCUGCCAUAUGAAAUAGCCUUUGUCAAACGACGUACAGGUCGAAGAAUUCAAGAAAAGCUCAUGCUGACGCCAGUAACGACUAACAUACUUGAAACCUACGACGAGUAUAUCAAAGUGCGUCUAUCUAAUGAAGAAAUAACGUGUUUUAUGGGGAGCCUCUUUUCAACUAUAAAAGAAGUAUAAAACAUAAAAGUUAAGGCUAAGGUCAUUUAAAAUGACUGUGACUGAACUAGAACUGACACAUAGGAGAACAGGAAGAAUUUACUUUAUAGGAAGUUGCUCAUUACCGUUUCUGCAUAUCUUUGAUAUAAUUUGUAGGUUUUUACAGUUUUUUUUUUUAAAUUGCUUACGUAAUUUGACUUUCGAAAUAAUUUUUAAUACUUUGACGUUUUUAACUGUAGUAAUUUUUAUUGUACAUUUCA